rnacentral:rRNA from 1 species
AGAACGAACGCUGGCGGCAGGCUUAACACAUGCAAGUCGAGCGCUGUAGCAAUACAGAGCGGCAGACGGGUGAGUAACGCGUGGGAACGUACCCCCCGGUUCGGAAUAACUCAGGGAAACUUGAGCUAAUACCGGAUACGGCUUAACGGCGAAAGAUUUAUCGCCGGGGGAUCGGCCCGCGUCCGAUUAGCUAGUUGGUGUGGUAAUGGCGCACCAAGGCGACGAUCGGUAGCUGGUCUGAGAGGAUGAUCAGCCACAUUGGGACUGAGACACGGCCCAAACUCCUACGGGAGGCAGCAGUGGGGAAUAUUGGACAAUGGGCGAAAGCCUGAUCCAGCCAUGCCGCGUGAGUGAUGAAGGCCUUAGGGUUGUAAAGCUCUUUCACCCACGACGAUAAUGACGGUAGUGGGAGAAGAGCCCGGCUAACUUCGCGCCAGCAGCCGC